GACAGAGUGAGAAAGGUUGAUUUGUUUGAGAAUGGAACCAUUGCUAUUGUGGAGGCUGUUUCUCCUGAAUUAGGAAACCGGGUGCAGAGAGUCCGUGUACAACUGCCAGGACUCAACCAAGAACUUCUUCAGAAGUUCAGAGAGAAGAACAUUGACUUUGCAGCACAUAAUGCUCAAGAAGACUCAGGUUCCCUGUUAUUCAAUUUGAUUGGAAAUCUGGCUUUCCCGUUAAUCUUAAUCGGAGGUCUGUUCCUUCUCUCUCGACGUUCAUC
rnacentral:misc_RNA from 1 species